GACGAACGCUGGCGGCGUGCUUAACACAUGCGAGUCGAACGGAAAGGCCCUGCUUGCCGGGUACUCGAGUGGCGAACGGGUGAGUAACACGUGGGUGAUCUGCCCUGCACUUCGGGAUAAGCCUGGGAAACUGGGUCUAAUACCGGAUAGGAGCCAUUUUUAGUGUGAUGGUUGGAAAGUUUUUUUCGGUGUAGGAUGAGCUCGCGGCCUAUCAGCUUGUUGGUGGGGUAAUGGCCUACCAAGGCGGCGACGGGUAGCCGGCCUGAGAGGGUGGACGGCCACAUUGGGACUGAGAUACGGCCCAGACUCCUACGGGAGGCAGCAGUGGGGAAUAUUGCACAAUGGGCGCAAGCCUGAUGCAGCGACGCCGCGUGGGGGAUGACGGCCUUCGGGUUGUAAACUCCUUUCGCUAGGGACGAAGCUUUUUGUGACGGUACCUAGAUAAGAAGCACCGGCUAACUACGUG
rnacentral:rRNA from 1 species